rnacentral:lncRNA from 1 species
GCUGAUGGUUCAGCAUUUGUGUUCAUAAAGCAAGAAUGAAGAUGAUCAUAACUCGUAUAACAUCCAGUUUCAACUUUAUGACUAAUACAUCUGUCGCUGAAGAUCGAGAAGGAAAAAGAUACCUGCCACAGAAACCAUUCAAGUGAGUACUUCAGUCUGAGCCUUAACCUGGAUUCCACGAAAAGAGCUGACCUCCCCUUCAGGAGCACCUCAAGCAGAUAUUCCAGAGGACCUUCUCAAUGGUGCCACAUUGCAAGUGGACAUCCAAGGGACUAUAGAUGCAAGUUGCCCCACCCCCACAAGCCCUGGUGGAAGGAACAGGAGGGCCAGAGCUGGAUCAGGUGGGGAGCAUCCUUAGUCCAGAAGGAAGCUCCCUGGCCCCUGGUUCCCUGCUUACCUGGUAGGUAAGGAUGGGAUUUAUCUCUGGCCUCCACUUUUGCUACAGCACGUCCAAUCCCACACCCCCGGUGGUAUGAAAGCUGCUUUCCUGGAGAGGUGGAGUGGGCUGGGCUUGUAUAAGUCCCUUUUCCCUGCUGCCCCAUCCCCGGGACCGGGCCGUCUCAAUACGGAGAAGUCAGAGCCACGGCACAUGGGCAGUGUGAUGGUACCACAGCCCAUUACACAUGCAGGGUUACUGAGGAGGAGGGUGAAUGAUGUAUUGACCCAGACUGGCUUGAACUGAGAUUGCCAUAUUAUCUGUCCACUUGUUCACAAAGCAGCCUUCACACGUGUCAGUGAGAGUUCGAUGGACACACACGCCAGCGAGCAGGGGCUUCAGUCCAAUGCACUCUUCUCACGUUUUGUUGAAAUAAACCUCCACAUUUGU